GAUGAACGCUGGCGGCGUGCCUAAUACAUGCAAGUCGAGCGAACGGACGAGAAGCUUGCUUCUCUGAUGUUAGCGGCGGACGGGUGAGUAACACGUGGAUAACCUCCCUAUAAGACUGGGAUAACUUCGGGAAACCGUCGCUAAUACCGGAUAAUAUUUUGAACCGCAUGGUUCAAAAGUGAAAGACGGUCUUGCUGUCACUUAUAGAUGGAUCCGCGCUGCAUUAGCUAGUUGGUAAGGUAACGGCUUACCAAGGCAACGAUGCAUAGCCGACCUGAGAGGGUGAUCGGCCACACUGGAACUGAGACACGGUCCAGACUCCUACGGGAGGCAGCAGUAGGGAAUCGGCCGCAAUGGGCGAAAGCCUGACGGAGCAACGCCGCGUGAGUGAUGAAGGUCUUCGGAGCGUAAAACUCUGUUAUUAGGGAAGAACAUAUGUGUAAGUAACUGUGCACAUCUUGACGGUACCUAAUCAGAAAGCCACGGCUAACUACGUG
rnacentral:rRNA from 1 species